CUGAUUAAGUUGUUGGGGAGGUAAAGGUUCACCAGGGAGAUGAUCAGUGAGUGGUCUAACAGGACCAUCAGCCCCGAUGCGAGUGACACACCCCCCAGACUCCUACGGGAGGAAGAUUUGGGAAAUUAUGGAAAAUGGGGGCAACCCUGCUCCCUGCAUGCCGCGUGAGUGAAGAAGGUCUUACUGGUGUAAAGCUCUUUUGAAAGGGAAUAAACAGCUGCUCUAACCUAAUCUGCGAAUGACGGUACCUGAAGAAUAAGCACCGCCUAACUACAUGCCCGGAGGCGCGGAAAUACGUAGGGUGUAAUCGUUAAUCAGAGUUACUGGGGGGAAAGAGUGCGCCUGUGGUUAUACAGCGACAGGCCUCCAAUCCCCGCGCUUAACCUGCUAAUGGACUCUGUGACUGUAUAGCUAGAGUGUGUCAUAGGGGUGUGGAAGUACACGUGUAAUACUGAAAUGAGUACAUAUGUGGAGG
rnacentral:rRNA from 1 species